rnacentral:rRNA from 1 species
UACGUAGGGUGCAAGCGUUGUCCGGAAUUAUUGGGCGUAAAGAGUUCGUAGGCGGUUUGUCGCGUCGUCUGUGAAAACCCAUCGCUCAACGAUGGGCCGGCAGGCGAUACGGGCAGACUUGAGUACUGCAGGGGAGACUGGAAUUCCUGGUGUAGCGGUGAAAUGCGCAGAUAUCAGGAGGAACACCGGUGGCGAAGGCGGGUCUCUGGGCAGUAACUGACGCUGAGGAACGAAAGCGUGGGUAGCAAACAGG